rnacentral:lncRNA from 1 species
GGCGAACUCUGAACUGGUGCCCAAGGAGACAGUGUCGGAGGAGACAGUGCCGGCUGAGAACCGGAGGAAGACAGGAGCCUCUCUGGAUUUGGAGGCUUGCUAACACAACAACCUCCUUCAACCUUCUCCACCUGAUCAUAACGCAUGAUACUCACAAUCAACACUAAAAUCACUGCCUUUCUCAUUUCUGUAAGACUUAAAUUUUUU